UAGGGAAUCUUCGGCAAUGGACGGAAGUCUGACCGAGCAACGCCGCGUGAGUGAAGAAGGUUUUCGGAUCGUAAAGCUCUGUUGUAAGAGAAGAACGAGUGUGAGAGUGGAAAGUUCACACUGUGACGGUAUCUUACCAGAAAGGGACGGCUAACUACGUGCCAGCAGCCGCGGUAAUACGUAGGUCCCGAGCGUUGUCCGGAUUUAUUGGGCGUAAAGCGAGCGCAGGCGGUUAGAUAAGUCUGAAGUUAAAGGCUGUGGCUUAACCAUAGUAGGCUUUGGAAACUGUUUAACUUGAGUGCAAGAGGGGAGAGUGGAAUUCCAUGUGUAGCGGUGAAAUGCGUAGAUAUAUGGAGGGACACCGGUGGCGAAAGCGGCUCUCUGGCUUGUAACUGACGCUGAGGCUCGAAAGCGUGGGGAGCAAACAGGAUUAGAUACCCUGGUAGUCCACGCUGUAAACGAUGAGUGCUAGGUGUUAGACCCUUUCCGGGGUUUAGUGCCGUAGCUAACGCAUUAAGCACUCCGCCUGGGGAGUACGACCGCAAGGUUG
rnacentral:rRNA from 1 species